rnacentral:rRNA from 1 species
AAAGAACUUUGAAAAGAGAGUUAAACAGUACGUGAAAUUGUUGAAAGGGAAACGAUUGAAGUCAGUCAUACCAACGGGAAAUCAACCUUUUGAGUCUGUCCUCGUGGGUUUCGAGGAGUUUAAAAGCCUUCGGAUUUGCUAGGAGUGGGCUCUUUUGGUGUACUUUCUCGUACGGUUAGUCAACAUCGGUUUUGAAUGUCAUAAAAUGACCGGAGGAAUGUGGC